rnacentral:lncRNA from 1 species
GACUCUUUAUGAUUAAAUCUCAAACAAAAUGUGUCUCCUUACAAAGCUCAUAUGCACUUAUCUAUUGUGCAAACAAGUAGCAUAUGAGCUUUGUAAGUAGACUCACCAAAUCAAUUAAGGGAAAUAACAUAGAUGGAUUUCAAAACAUAAGCAAAAGCAGAAAGCUCAAAAGCAUGUUUAUAUAAAAGAUGUUGAGCAAUGAUUGAUUAUAGAAUGCAGCAUUCUUGAAGGCUUUCUUCAUGCGUACGUCUUUUCAGCUCAUCCAAGUUAUUCUUCAUAUCAUGUUUUUCAUUCUCACGAGCUUCUUCUCUUUUAUCAAAGAGCUUCUCUUGCGCUUCCACAACUAUUUUAAUGUUUUUCACCAUAUGAGAAAAAGAAACAAGUUUCGUUAAUUAAAGCGUAACCCCUUAGGACUUGUGAGUUGUGAGCAGCAUAUUGGAUACUAACAGAUCUAAUACUCAUAUUUGUUUCUAAAUCUACAUCUUAGGCAACUUCUGAACUCGAGUACAGAAAUAGUUAAACCAUAAAAAUUGAUAGAUGCAAAGUUAUAACAACAAAAAAGAAAAAAAAAUGGCGAGAAAAGGACAAACUUGAUUUUAAAGAG